rnacentral:rRNA from 1 species
UACGUAGGGGGCAAGCGUUGUCUGGAUUUAUUGGGCGUAAAGCGCGUGUAGGCGGCCAAGCAGGUCCGUUGUGAAAACUCGAGGCUUAACCUCGAGACGUCGAUGGAAACCGCAUGGCUAGAGUCCGGAAGAGGAGAGUGGAAUUCCUGGUGUAGCGGUGAAAUGCGCAGAUAUCAGGAAGAACACCCCGUGGCGAAGGCGGCUCUCUGGGACGGUACUGACACUGAGACGCGAAAGCGUGGGGAGCGAACAGG